GCUAUAUUAAGAUAUCAACAACCUGAAUGACACAAUUGUCAGAGGAAAAUGAUUUUGAAGCUCCGUUAAAAAUGAGGAGAAAGUUGAAGAUAUCAUAUCCCAUUGUCACAGUAAUAUUUCUGCUCUAGUCCUACAACAGGAAUGUACCCACCACCUAGUAUGCAACAUGUUUCGCCUUUUACACAGUCACAAAUAUCACAACAGAGACCGGCACCAUUGGUGGAUGAAAUAUUUCAACACAUGGACAAGAGAAACUUGAUAAACUUGAACAAAUUGAUAGCCUUGUUACUUCAAUUAAUGCCAAAGUUGU
rnacentral:lncRNA from 1 species